UGCCUCUCGCUGCGGCAGGGCGCACCAAGUGGGAGCGGCGGCCGGAGCUCUGCUUACGGGCCGUGCCUGAAAUCAGUGAGACACAGCACACACCACGGGUAAGUGGACACCCAGAGGGAGCCCCGAGGGGGCCGUGGCCAAGGCAGUGGGGCUUUGCUGGAUCCCCACUUCACUGUCCGCUCGGCACUGCGCGCGGACAGAGCCCACCCCCAACCAGGGAAUUGCACACCAGCGUACAGCCCUGCAAUUACCUAGCAAGGCGACUUGGAUAUUGCCACAAAGCUUCACACCCACCUAAACCACGGGAGGGAAAUACAAGGAGCGUGGAGGCUGCGGAGUGGACGGGGAAGGGAGAAGAAAGACACGCCGCGGGAAGGAACCGGAGGUCCUCGCAAGGUUCCGCACGGUCCUGGGUCGCCAGAUGUGGCCGAGAGCUGAGCCAGAACGUGCCGGCACGUGAGCGACCGGGGCUGCCGCGAGGGCGCAAGCGGUAGCCUCGGCUUGCAAAGACCGCCGCGUUUCUUCCAGGAAGCCCUCUGGAAGUCGGGCGCGCGAGGGGCGGCCCCCGGCCCCGGGCUGCAGGGGCAGUGGCUCCACCCGCCUCCUUCUCCGAGUUCCAGCGCCGGGCACCCCGGGCGGGGCGGGGGACUGGCUGCAGGCGGGGCGCGGGAAAGGGCGCACAGCAGCUCCGGAACCUUACCUCCGGACAGUCGGCCUCAUGGCUGCGGAGCCUCUCCGGGCGGCGGGGAAGGCGGGAGCUGCUUCUGGGCCUGGGCCUGGGCUUGGGGGUGCUGCGGCCGUCGUCUCAUUCCAUGUCCCAUGCGCGGACAGAGCCCACCCCCAACCAGGGAAUUGCACACCAGCGUACAGCCCUGCAAUUACCUAGCAAGGCGACUUGGAUAUUGCCACAAAGCUUCACACCCACCUAAACCACGGGAGGGAAAUACAAGGAGCGUGGAGGCUGCGGAGUGGACGGGGAAGGGAGAAGAAAGACACGCCGCGGGAAGGAACCGGAGGUCCUCGCAAGGUUCCGCACGGUCCUGGGUCGCCAGAUGUGGCCGAGAGCUGAGCCAGAACGUGCCGGCACAUAACCGCGUCCCCCGGGCCGCCGCCGAUGUUCUGACUGCGUCCAUUGGCCGCCGCAACAAAGAGGGGCGGGGCCUGAGCGCGGGACUCUCACAACCCGGGGAUCCGCCGCGCUCUGAUUGGCUCCGGAGGCUCCUGGGCGGGAGCGAAGAGGAGGAGGGGGCUGGCAGCCGCGCGAAAUGCGAUCGCUGUCGUGUCCUGGGACCCCCGCGGCGGCAGGGGCGUGGGUCCCUGGGACUUAGGACCGAGUUUCCCCAGGGUCGUGGUACUGCGGGGGUUGCAACUGUGGGAAGCAGAGGAGAAGUAAAGCCGCCCAAGAAGUGA
rnacentral:lncRNA from 1 species